GUGGCUUAAGUAGUUCAAGCUUCUGCAUCGGAUGCAGGAGGUCAUGGGUUCAAACCCCAUCCUAGUCA